ensembl:lncRNA novel transcript, antisense to EP300
CCACCAGUGGGGCUUCUCUGCUGUAAAGGAGAUAAAGGACAUGGAAAGGAAUGGCUUUGGAGUCCAACAGGCCAUUGUCCUGGAUUUCAUGAUAGACUGCAGUCCUCAAGCAUUUAGGACGGAAGAAAUGAACACUAUCGAGGCUCUUUGCUCACAUCGUUAUUUGUGAAGCUCAUCACAGGCAGGUAGGCGACUCCGCCGUGAACCCUUCAGGGAAGUUCAGUGAGCCUGUGGUUUCCUUCUAUUUGUAGUAACUAGCAGUGCCUGGCACAUACACAUCAAUCAGUAUUUGGUGAUCCCUAUACGUUUUUAUUAUUGCCUUUAUACUAUUUUUGGAGAAAAGAAAUUCCCACCCGA